UGUACGGAAUCCGUUUAGAGAUAGAGGAGUGCUCGAAAGAGAGCCGUAACACAGGUGCUGCAUGGCUGUCGUCAGCUCGUGUCGUGAGAUGUUGGGUUAAGUCCCGCAACGAGCGCAACCCUUGUCAUUAGUUGCUACAUUCAGUUGGGCACUCUAAUGAGACUGCCGGUGACAAACCGGAGGAAGGUGGGAUGACGUCAAGUCCUCAUGGCCCUUAUAGGUGGGGCUACACACGUCAUACAAUGGAUGGUACAAAGGGUCGCCAACCCGCGAGGGGGAGCCAAUCCCAUAAAGCCAUUCGUAGUCCGGAUCGCAGUCUGCAACUCGACUGCGUGAAGUCGGAAUCGCUAGUAAUCGUGGAUCAGAAUGUCACGGUGAAUACGUUCCCGGGUCUU
rnacentral:rRNA from 1 species